AUUGAACGCUGGCGGCAGGCCUAACACAUACAAGUCGAACGAGUGGCGGACGGGUGAGUAAUGUCUGGGAAACUGCCUGAUGGAGGGGGAUAACUACUGGAAACGGUAGCUAAUACCGCAUACCCUCGGAUGUGCCCAGAUGGGAUUAGCUAGUAGGUUGGGUAAUGGCUCAACUAGGCGACGAUCCCUAGCUGGUCUGAGAGGAUGACCAGCCACACGGGAACUGAGACACGGUCCAGACUCCUACGUGAGGCAGCAGUGGGGAAUAUUGCACAAUGGGCGCAAGCCUGAUGCAGCCAUGCCGCGUGUAUGAAGAAGGCCUUCGGGUUGUAAAGUACUUUCAGCGAGGAGGCGUUACUCGCAGAAGAAGCACCGGCUAACUCCGUGCCAGCAGCCGCGGUAAUUC
rnacentral:rRNA from 1 species